rnacentral:rRNA from 1 species
GGAUUAGAUACCCUGGUAGUCCACGCCGUAAACGAUGAGUGCUAGGUGUCUGCCUCUUAGAGGUGGGUGUCGUAGCUAACGCAUUAAGCACUCCGCCUGGGGAGUACGGUCGCAAGAUUAAAACUCAAAGGAAUUGACGGGGACCCGCACAAGCAGUGGAGCAUGUGGUUUAAUUCGAUGCAACGCGAAGAACCUUACCAAUCCUUGACAUCGUGAUCGCGAACUCAGAGAUGAGUUUUUCAGUUUGGCUGGAUCACAGACAGGUGUUGCAUGGCUGUCGUCAGCUCGUGUUG